CACGUAGGGCGCGAGCGUUGUCCGGAAUUAUUGGGCGUAAAGAGCUCGUAGGCGGCCUGUUGCGUCCGCUGUGAAAGCCCGGGGCUUAACCCCGGGUCGGCGGUGGAUACGGGCAGGCUAGAGGUAGGUAGGGGAGAAUGGAAUUCCCGGUGUAGCGGUGAAAUGCGCAGAUAUCAGGAGGAACACCGGUGGCGAAGGCGGGUCUCUGGGCCGAUACUGACGCUGAGGAGCGAAAGCGUGGGGAGCGAACAGG
rnacentral:rRNA from 1 species